AAAUCGAUCAUUCAACACAUGUAACACAUUACAUGAGAAUUAUUCAACAAGGUGAAACAUCCCGUCCCGAUGUUACAUCUAUCAGAGCAUGACCCACUAAGGAGACUACACUAGACCCCAAGCACUAGCUUCUACUCAAUCACUGCUCGUUACCUGAAAAAUAGUUGUAAGGGUGAGUUCCUCAAUCGAUAUGAUAAGCAUUAUAAAAUAUCAUGUCAUGUUAAGUAAUUUGACACAUUAAUCACCCUAAUCACAUCACACAUUCAGUAACGGCACAUCAACUCAAACGUCAUACUCAAUAUCAACACAAGCACCACUGCUCAAUUAAAUUAAAUACUCAUACAACAAACCAACAAAAUGCAACUCUAAUGAGACUCGACUCGUCAU
rnacentral:lncRNA from 1 species